UGUGUCAGGCGUUUGAUGGGCCAUCCUCUCUAUUGUUCAGCUGCUGAUGCUGGCCUAUGGGGAGAGAGAGGAUAUGGUGAUGACUCCACCCCCUAUACAUGACUCAGCAGUAUCGCCUUUCUUCCAUGACUGCCUGGCUUUCCUCCACUGGCAUUUCCCGCCAUGAUCUCCUCCCUCACAUCCCCUUAAUCUGUCUCCCCACAGUCAACAGCAGCCAUCACCCUGGGAUUGCUCCACAACCCCUAAAGUCCAGUUCCCAGCCGCUGUGCCUUCCAGGGGAUCAGGGCUCCUGUCUGGGGAACCCUAUCACCCUUAACUGUCUUCACUGCACCUUCAACAGAACACAGCAGGACCCAGAAUCUCAGAUCUCAUAAAGGAGAUAAUUUGGGGAGGAUUACUCAUAAAACUAUCACAUAUUUUCCCUCUAUAACUGAACUCAUUGCCUUGCUUGUUUAUUACCACCAAGGGAAAGAAAUGUUAAGAAUGUGGCAAAAGAAGGACCUAAUAACAUUUGCUAACUGUAUUAAGACUAUGUUUAUAUACUGUACAGUGUAAAAACUAAAGAUACUCAUUAAUCUUUUGACAUGACUUUUCAUAUAGCAUUCUCUAUAUUAGAAAAGUAAAUAUGAUAUUAGAAAAAAAAAA